rnacentral:rRNA from 1 species
ACGUAUGUCUCGAGCGUUACCCGGAAUCACUGGGUGUAAAGGGUUUGUAGGCGGUUUGUUAAGUUGGAUAUGAAAGACCGGAGCUCAACUCCGAGUUUGUGUUCAAAACUGGCAGACUAGAAUUAGGGAGAGGUAAGCGGAAUUCUAAGUGUAGGGGUGCAAUCCGUAGAUACUUAGAGGAACACCAAAAGCGAAGGCAGCUUACUGGAACUAUAUUGACGCUGAGGAACGAAAGCGUGGGGAGCGAAAAGG